UUAGGAAUCUUCCACAAUGGGCGAAAGCCUGAUGGAGCGACACCGCGUGGUGGAUGAAGGCAGUUUCUGUCGUAAACACCUGUUCUGAGGGAAGAAAUUUUUGACGGUACCUCAGGAGAAAGCACCGGCUAAUUCUGUGCCAGCAGCCGCGGUAAGACAGAAGGUGCAAGCGUUACUCGGAAUUACUGGGCGUAAAGCGUCUGUAGGUUUUUGACCACGUCUGGUGUGAAAUUUCGGGGCUCAACCCCGUUCCCACACUGGAAACGAGUCGGAUAGAGUCACUCAGAGGCAUCUGGAAUGUCGUAUGUAGGGGUAAAAUCCGUAGAUAUACGAUGGAACGCCAAAAGCGAAAGCAGGAUGCUAGGGGUGCACUGACACUCAGAGACGAAAGCGUGGGGAGCAAAGGGG
rnacentral:rRNA from 1 species